rnacentral:rRNA from 1 species
AAUCCUAGUGGCGAACGGGUGAGUAACGCGUUGGUGACCUGCCCCAAAGUGUGGGAUAACAGUCCGAAAGGAUUGCUAAUACCGCAUGUGGUCAUUGGAUUUAGAAACCGAUGACUAAAGGAGUAAUCCGCUUUGGGAGGGACCUGCGUCCCAUCAGCUAGUCGGUGAGGUAAUGGCUCACCAAGGCUACGACGGGUAGGGGACCUGAGAGGGUGGCCCCCCACAAUGGAACUGAAACACGGUCCAU